rnacentral:rRNA from 1 species
UACGAGGGGGGCAAGCGUUGUUCGGAAUUAUUGGGCGUAAAGGGCGCGUAGGCGGUGCGGUAAGUCUGAUGUGAAAUCUCCGGGCUCAACUCGGAGUCUGCAUCAGAAACUGCCGUGCUCGAGUGUGGGAGAGGUGAGUGGAAUUCCCGGUGUAGCGGUGAAAUGCGUAGAGAUGCGGAGGAACACCGAUGGCGAAGGCAGCCCCCUGGGCCAACACUGACGCUCAGGCACGAAAGCGUGGGGAGCAAACAGG